AACCUUAUGGACCUGCGGGCGUAUACCUGCGGAGGGAUCAUUAACGAGUGGCCUGGCUCCCGCAAGGGACCGGUUACCCGACCUCCUGUCAUUUGCACUCCUCGGUGCGGGCGUGCGCGCUGCCCUCGGGCGGCUGCGUGCCUCGCGCCCUGGUUUACUCUUUUUCGGCGGCACCUGCGAGGCUCGUGAGGGCUUCGCGGACCGCCGGUAGAUAACCUCUGCGAUACAUUGAAAGCACAG
rnacentral:misc_RNA from 1 species